UACAGAGGUGGCAAGCGUUGUUCGGAAUUACUGGGCGUAAAGGGCGCGUAGGCGGUUUCGUAAGUCCUGUGUGAAAUCCCUCGGCUCAACUGAGGAACUGCACAGGGGACUGCGAGGCUUGAGUUCGGGAGAGGGAAGUGGAAUUCCGGGUGUAGCGGUGAAAUGCGUAGAUAUCCGGAGGAACACCGGUGGCGAAGGCGGCUUCCUGGACCGAUACUGACGCUGAGGCGCGAAAGCUAGGGGAGCAAACGGG
rnacentral:rRNA from 1 species